rnacentral:rRNA from 1 species
UCCGGUUGAUCCUGCCAGAGGUUACUGCUAUCGGAGUUCGAUUAAGCCAUGCGAGUCUAAAGGUUUCUUCGGAAACCUUGGCGGACUGCUCAGUAACACGUGGAUAACCUACCCUUGGGACUGGGAUAACCCCGGGAAACUGGGGAUAAUACCGGAUAGAUCAGGGAUGCUGGAAUGCGCCUUGAUCCAAAGCUCCGGCGCCCAAGGAUGGGUCUGCGGCCUAUCAGGUAGUAGUGGGUGUAACGUACCUACUAGCCAACGACGGGUACGGGUUGUGAGAGCAAGAGCCCGGAGAUGGAUUCUGAGACACGAAUCCAGGCCUUACGGGGUGCAGCAGGCGCGAAACCUUUACAAUGUGCGAAAGCAUGAUAAGGGAACUCCGAGUGCCAGUAUCUAAUACUGGCUGUCCUUGUGCCUAAAACGCACAAGAUAGCAAGGGCCGGGUGAGACCGGUGCCAGCCGCCGCGGUAACACCGGCGGCCCGAGUGGUAGCCGCUAUUAUUGGGUCUAAAGGGUCCGUAGCCGGUUCGAUAAGUCCUCUGGGAAAUCUGGUUGCUUAACAAUCAGACUGCCAAGGGAUACUGUCGAACUUGAGACCGGGAGAGGUAAGAGGUACUUCAGGGGUAGGAGUGAAAUCUUGUAAUCCCUGGGGGACCAUCUGUGGCGAAGGCGUCUUACCAGAACGGGUCUGACGGUGAGGGACGAAAGCUGGGGGCGCAAACCGGAUUAGAUACCCGGGUAGUCCCAGCCGUAAACGAUGCUCGCUAUGUGUCAGGUACGGUGUGACCGUAUCUGGUGCCGUAGGGAAGCCGUGAAGCGAGCCACCUGGGAAGUACGGUCGCAAGACUGAAACUUAAAGGAAUUGGCGGGGGAGCAC